UGACACUGACACUGAGGUGCGAAAGCGUGGGUAGCAAACAGGAUUAGAUACCCUGGUAGUCCCACGCCGUAAACGAUGUCGACCAGCCGUUGGGUGCCUAGCGCACUUUGUGGCGAAGUUAACGCGAUAAGUCGACCGCCUGGGGAGUACGGCCGCAAGGUUAAAACUCAAAUGAAUUGAUGGGGGCCCGCACAAGCGGUGGAGCAUGUGGUUGAAUUCGAUGCAACGCGAAGAACCUUACCUACUCUUGACAUCCUGCGAACUUGUGAGAGAUCACUUGGUGCCUUCGGGAGCGCAGAGACAGGUGCUGCAUGGCUGUCGUCAGCUCGUGUUGUGAAAUGUUGGGUUAAGUCCCGUAACGAGCGCAACCCUUGUCCUUAUUUGCCAGCGGGUAAUGCCGGGAACUCUAAGGAGACUGCCGGUGACAAACCGGAGGAAGGUGGGGACGACGUCAAGUCAUCAUGGCCCUUACGAGUAGGGCUACACACGUGCUACAAUGGCCGGUACAAAGGGUUGCGAGCUCGCGAGAGUCAGCUAAUCCCGAAAAGCCGGUCUCAGUCCGGAUCGGAGUCUGCAACUCGACUCCGUGAAGUCGGAAUCGCUAGUAAUCGUGAAUCAGAAUGUCACGGUGAAUACGUUCCCGGGCCUUGUACACACCGCCCGU
rnacentral:rRNA from 1 species